rnacentral:rRNA from 1 species
CCUACGGGCAGCAGCAGUGGGGGAUAUUGCACAAUGGGGGGAACCCUGAUGCAGCGACGCCGCGUGGGUGAAGGAGCGUUUCGGCGCGUAAAGCCCUAUCGGCAGGGAAGAAGGAGGACGGUACCUGCCUAAGAAGCCCCGACUAACUACGUGCCCGCAGCCGCGGUAAUCCGUAGGGGGCAAGCGUUAUCCAGAUUUACUGGGUGUAAAGGGGGCGCAGACGGCAGUGCAAGCCAGGAGUGAAAGCCCGGGGCCCAACCCCGGGACUGCUCUUGGAACUGCGCGGCGGGAGGGCAGGAGGGGCAGGAGGAAUUCCAGGUGUAGCGGUGAAAUGCGUAGAUAUCAGGAGGAACACCGGUGGCGAAGGCGGCCUGCUGGACUGCGACUGACGUUGAGGCACGAAAGCGUGGGGAUCGAACAGGAUUAGAUACCCGAGUAGUC